UGGCCUUCAGUUGGCGCUCUAAGUGUUUGUCGGUUCACCUUUCCGCUGUCGUGGCAGUCCUCAUAAUAUCGACUUUAUUAUCAGAAGCCCUGUACUGGAUAUUUGUAGGUGAUGGGUGCCCUUCAUUUUUUUUUUGCGAGUUAUUUAUGAUUUCUUGGUGGCCAACUUUCCUCUGUGUGCCUGGUCUUUUGAAUCUCUGUGGAAAAAACUUUAAUUUCGAAUCUGGGUCUCCACGUUGUCUAUAAUGUAUGGUCCUCCACCCAUCCGGAUUUAUUUUUCUUCUAUGGAUCUGGAUGGUUUAUUGAUGCUUGUCUCUCCCCAUUAUGUCAUCUCUGGCUUUUGUGCAGCGUGUCGUUUAUUCAUUUUUAUUUUGGUUAAAUAUGAUUUGUCAAUGAUUGGGCCACCUGACAUUUGGUGUGGCUUUGGUCCUAUGUGUGACAGACAGGGCUGUGGGUGGUGGUUUGUCCCUCAUGGUGUUCCAUAGUUUAACAUUUAUGGCCAGCACCUGUCUGUUGAGCUGUGAUUGGCUCACAAGGCUGAUUAAUAGCAGCAGUGGGAGUUCCAUCUAGAUGCUGGUUUCCUGGUUUGGCCUUGGUGGGUAAGCUUGACAUGUGGACCUUUUUUACUAAAGCUUUUAAUCAUUUGAGUCCUUUUACUAAAGUUUUUAAGCAUUUGAGUUUGCAACAUUUUAAAUUCUAUUUAUAUUAACAGGUGGUGGCAUGAAUUCUGACCCUGGGGCAUGAGAGUACCUUGGUGGUUGGACCUGGCUGAAGGUGGCUGCCUCCUCCUUUUAUCCUUAUGAUAGCUGGUACUCCUGGUGAGAGUUUGGAUCAGAGAUCUCCCUUGGUGGUGUUUGUGGCUACCCGCCGGUGCAGUGGGGCUGAGGCGAUCCUGGAGGCAGCCGCCCUCAUGCAGUGUUGGCGUGCGGUCCAACUGUCCGAGUCUAUUUUAACUUUCUCUUUUAUGGAAUUUGUGUCAAGUUUUUAAUAAAUUGUAUAUUUUUAACCU